UUCUUUUUCAACUUUUUUUUUCUUUCUUAAUUAUAAUUU
rnacentral:sRNA from 1 species